GACGAACGCUGGCAGCGUGCCUAAUACAUGCAAGUCGAGCGGACAGAAGGGAGCUUGCUCCCGGAAGUUAGCGGCGGACGGGUGAGUAACACGUGGGCAACCUACCCUGUAGAUCGGGAUAACAUCGAGAAAUCGGUGCUAAUACCGGAUAAUCAUUUGAAGUGCAUGCUUCGAAUGUAAAAGAUGGCUCCGGCUAUCACUACGGGAUGGGCCCGCGGCGCAUUAGCUAGUUGGUAAGGUAAUGGCUUACCAAGGCAACGAUGCGUAGCCGACCUGAGAGGGUGAUCGGCCACACAGGGACUGAGACACGGCCCAGACUCCUACGGGAGGCAGCAGUAGGGAAUCUUCCGCAAUGGACGAAAGUCUGACGGAGCAACGCCGCGUGAGUGAUGAAGGUUUUCGGAUCGUAAAGCUUUGUUGUUAGGGAAGAACAAGUGCCGUUUGAAUAAGGCGGCACCUUGACGGUACCUAACCAGAAAGCCACGGCUAACUACGUGCCAGCCGCCGCAGUAAAAC
rnacentral:rRNA from 1 species